rnacentral:rRNA from 1 species
AUUGAACGCUGGCGGCAUGCCUUACACAUGCAAGUCGAACGGCAGCGGGGACUUCGGUCCGCCGGCGAGUGGCGAACGGGUGAGUAAUGCAUCGGAACGUACCCUUCAGUGGGGGAUAACUAUCCGAAAGGAUAGCUAAUACCGCAUAUUCUCUGAGGAGGAAAGCGGGGGACCUUCGGGCCUCGCGCUGAUGGAGCGGCCGAUGUCAGAUUAGCUAGUUGGUGAGGUAAAGGCUCACCAAGGCGACGAUCUGUAGCGGGUCUGAGAGGAUGAUCCGCCACACUGGGACUGAGACACGGCCCAGACUCCUACGGGAGGCAGCAGUGGGGAAUUUUGGACAAUGGGGGCAACCCUGAUCCAGCCAUGCCGCGUGAGUGAAGAAGGCCUUCGGGUUGUAAAGCUCUUUCGGCCGGGAAGAAAUCGCACAGUCUAAUACGCUGUGUGGAUGACGGUACCGGAAUAAGAAGCACCGGCUAACUACGUGCCAGCCGCCGCGGUAA